UUAAGUUAUUAAGGGCGCACGGUGGAUGCCUUGGCACUAGAAGCCGAUGAAGGACGUUACUAACGACGAUAUGCUUUGGGGAGCUGUAAGUAAGCUUUGAUCCAGAGAUUUCCGAAUGGGGAAACCCAGCAUGAGUUAUGUCAUGUUAUCGAUAUGUGAAUACAUAGCAUAUCAGAAGGCACACCCGGAGAACUGAAACAUCUUAGUACCCGGAGGAAGAGAAAGAAAAUUCGAUUCCCUUAGUAGCGGCGAGCGAAACGGGAAGAGCCCAAACCAACAAGCUUGCUUGUUGGGGUUGUAGGACACUCUAUACGGAGUUACAAAGGACGACAUUAGACGAAUCAUCUGGAAAGAUGAAUCAAAGAAGGUAAUAAUCCUGUAGUCGAAAAUGUUGUCUCUCUUGAGUGGAUCCUGAGUACGACGGAGCACGUGAAAUUCCGUCGGAAUCUGGGAGGACCAUCUCCUAAGGCUAAAUACUCUCUAGUGACCGAUAGUGAACCAGUACCGUGAGGGAAAGGUGAAAAGCACCCCGGAAGGGGAGUGAAAUAGAACCUGAAACCGUGUGCUUACAAGUAGUCAGAGCCCGUUAAUGGGUGAUGGCGUGCCUUUUGUAGAAUGAACCGGCGAGUUACGAUUUGAUGCAAGGUUAAGCAGUAAAUGUGGAGCCGUAGCGAAAGCGAGUCUGAAUAGGGCGUUUAGUAUUUGGUCGUAGACCCGAAACCAGGUGAUCUACCCUUGGUCAGGUUGAAGUUCAGGUAACACUGAAUGGAGGACCGAACCGACUUACGUUGAAAAGUGAGCGGAUGAACUGAGGGUAGCGGAGAAAUUCCAAUCGAACCUGGAGAUAGCUGGUUCUCUCCGAAAUAGCUUUAGGGCUAGCCUCAAGUGAUGAUUAUUGGAGGUAGAGCACUGUUUGGACGAGGGGCCCCUCUCGGGUUACCGAAUUCAGACAAACUCCGAAUGCCAAUUAAUUUAACUUGGGAGUCAGAACAUGGGUGAUAAGGUCCGUGUUCGAAAGGGAAACAGCCCAGACCACCAGCUAAGGUCCCAAAAUAUAUGUUAAGUGGAAAAGGAUGUGGCGUUGCCCAGACAACUAGGAUGUUGGCUUAGAAGCAGCCAUCAUUUAAAGAGUGCGUAAUAGCUCACUAGUCGAGUGACACUGCGCCGAAAAUGUACCGGGGCUAAACAUAUUACCGAAGCUGUGGAUUGUCCUUUGGACAAUGGUAGGAGAGCGUUCUAAGGGCGUUGAAGCAUGAUCGUAAGGACAUGUGGAGCGCUUAGAAGUGAGAAUGCCGGUGUGAGUAGCGAAAGACGGGUGAGAAUCCCGUCCACCGAUUGACUAAGGUUUCCAGAGGAAGGCUCGUCCGCUCUGGGUUAGUCGGGUCCUAAGCUGAGGCCGACAGGCGUAGGCGAUGGAUAACAGGUUGAUAUUCCUGUACCACCUAUAAUCGUUUUAAUCGAUGGGGGACGCAGUAGGAUAGGCGAAGCGUGCGAUUGGAUUGCACGUCUAAGCAGUAAGGCUGAGUAUUAGGCAAAUCCGGUACUCGUUAAGGCUGAGCUGUGAUGGGGAGAAGACAUUGAGUCUUCGAGUCGUUGAUUUCACACUGCCGAGAAAAGCCUCUAGAUAGAAAAUAGGUGCCCGUACCGCAAACCGACACAGGUAGUCAAGAUGAGAAUUCUAAGGUGAGCGAGCGAACUCUCGUUAAGGAACUCGGCAAAAUGACCCCGUAACUUCGGGAGAAGGGGUGCUCUUUAGGGUUAACGCCCAGAAGAGCCGCAGUGAAUAGGCCCAAGCGACUGUUUAUCAAAAACACAGGUCUCUGCUAAACCGUAAGGUGAUGUAUAGGGGCUGACGCCUGCCCGGUGCUGGAAGGUUAAGAGGAGUGGUUAGCUUCUGCGAAGCUACGAAUCGAAGCCCCAGUAAACGGCGGCCGUAACUAUAACGGUCCUAAGGUAGCGAAAUUCCUUGUCGGGUAAGUUCCGACCCGCACGAAAGGCGUAACGAUUUGGGCACUGUCUCAACGAGAGACUCGGUGAAAUCAUAGUACCUGUGAAGAUGCAGGUUACCCGCGACAGGACGGAAAGACCCCGUGGAGCUUUACUGUAGCCUGAUAUUGAAAUUCGGCACAGCUUGUACAGGAUAGGUAGGAGCCUUUGAAACGUGAGCGCUAGCUUACGUGGAGGCGCUGGUGGGAUACUACCCUAGCUGUGUUGGCUUUCUAACCCGCACCACUUAUCGUGGUGGGAGACAGUGUCAGGCGGGCAGUUUGACUGGGGCGGUCGCCUCCUAAAAGGUAACGGAGGCGCUCAAAGGUUCCCUCAGAAUGGUUGGAAAUCAUUCAUAGAGUGUAAAGGCAUAAGGGAGCUUGACUGCGAGACCUACAAGUCGAGCAGGGUCGAAAGACGGACUUAGUGAUCCGGUGGUUCCGCAUGGAAGGGCCAUCGCUCAACGGAUAAAAGCUACCCCGGGGAUAACAGGCUUAUCUCCCCCAAGAGUUCACAUCGACGGGGAGGUUUGGCACCUCGAUGUCGGCUCAUCGCAUCCUGGGGCUGUAGUCGGUCCCAAGGGUUGGGCUGUUCGCCCAUUAAAGCGGUACGCGAGCUGGGUUCAGAACGUCGUGAGACAGUUCGGUCCCUAUCCGUCGUGGGCGUAGGAAAUUUGAGAGGAGCUGUCCUUAGUACGAGAGGACCGGGAUGGACAUACCUCUGGUGUACCAGUUGUCGUGCCAACGGCAUAGCUGGGUAGCUAUGUGUGGACGGGAUAAGUGCUGAAAGCAUCUAAGCAUGAAGCCCCCCUCAAAAUGAGAUUUCCCAACUUCGGUUAUAAGAUCCCUCAAAGAUGAUGAGGUUAAUAGGUUCGAGGUGGAAGCAUGGUGACAUGUGGAGCUGACGAAUACUAAUCGAUCGAAGACUUAAUCAA
rnacentral:rRNA from 1 species